rnacentral:rRNA from 1 species
GACGUAGGGCGCGAGCGUUGUCCGGAUUUAUUGGGCGUAAAGAGCGUGUAGGCGGCUAGAUAGGUCCGUUGUGAAAACUCGAGGCUCAACCUCGAGACGUCGAUGGAAACCAUCUGGCUAGAGUCCGGAAGAGGAGAGUGGAAUUCCUGGUGUAGCGGUGAAAUGCGUAGAUAUCUGGAGGAAUACCGGUGGCGAAGGCGGCAUCCUGGACCAUUACUGACGCUGAGGCGCGAAAGCUAGGGGAGCAAACGGG